CUGGGGCAGCGGGUCGUGCGCGGCACGCAGGGCUAGCGGGAAGGCCUCGGCGAGCUUGGUGUUGUUGGGCAGGCCAUGCACGCGGCUGUCGGGCAGCGGCGUGCGGUGGCGGCACACCGGGCACGCGAUGGCGCCUGGCGGGCCGUGCCAGGGCGGCGGGCGCAGCGGGCGUUCAGGCGCGGUGGUAGCGGCGGCGGCGGCGGCGCGGAGCUGCAGUUGGGUCAAGCACUCCUGGCAGAAGGUGUGCAAACACGCCAGCAGCUUGGGCGCGCGCCGGUCUGCGUCGAAGUAGUUGUAGCAGAUCUUGCACUCGUAGUCCUCGAGCGGAGGGAGGCCGGAGAUCGCCACCGCUGCGCUCCGGGCUCCGGCCUCCCGACCGUCCCGGGCUCCCACCGCGGUGCUUCCUGCUCCUGUGGAGCUCCCAGGGCUGCUGGUUGGACUCUGCUCGCCGCCGCCGCUGUCGCUUGCCGGCGCUGCCAUGGCAUGAUCCGCCCCUCAUCAGGGUUAAGGAGCUCACCGGUGAUGUAA
rnacentral:lncRNA from 9 species